UGUGAGAUUACAUAUGCAUAUAGUGUUAAUGUUAUAAGAGUGUAGUAUCUACUCACAAAGUUAUCAGGUUAAAUAGUUUUAUCAACUAAUAAAAAUGUUAUUGCAUAACUAAUGUUAUAUACUGUAGCCCUGCCACGAUAUCCAGCGAGAAUUAUUUUGCUGAGUAUCGUAGUAAAAGUUAAGAUAUGAUGUUGAGAAUUUUUUUGAGUCGUGCAACAAUAUUAACAGCAAACUAUAAUACAAAUCUAUCUUUUU
rnacentral:misc_RNA from 1 species